CAAUGUUGUUUGGAUGAGAAAGUUCAUUUAUGAACUCUCUAUUCGGUUCCAACCAGAAAGUGUAUCUAGUGUAUCGACACUAUGACACUAAUGGGGCGAUAGCUCAAGCCAGGGAAUCAAGGUCUCAUCAAGGUCCGAACUCAUAUGAGAGACUGAACCACAUGAUUGAGAAUCAUGUAUAAUGGUGACGUCGUUUUUCUCAAGGUUGCUUCUAUGGAUAACAUAUUGAUAGGAGCAUAUUUAUGCACCUUAGUUAGCUAGUUCUUAUGCAUUUAUGUUGUGUUUUCUUAGUUAAAGUAGUCUUUUAAGCUAUUUUCAUGUAUUUUCAGGUUUUAGAGACAAAGUGAGCAAAAGGAUGCAAUUUGGAGCAUUUUGGAGCAAAAUUGGGCUAGAAUGGAGUUCAUGCACAUGAAGCACAAGGGAUGGACGAAUUUGAAGGAUUGAUGAAGCUAGGAAUGUGUUUUGAAGUUGAAGAAUUGAAGAUACAAAGAUUCCUAAUUGAAGUGGGAAAGUGCUUAAUUGAAGAUGAAAUCCUAGUUGAAGAUGGAUUCCUAGUUGAAGUUGGAUUCCUAGAAGAUUGAAGUUUCCUACUCAAACAAGGUUUCCUACUUGAAGAAGGGAAGUUGAAGCCAAAGAAUCAGCUCAAGUGAAGAAACCUUAUCCAAAACAUUAUCCAAACCCUAUCCUAUCCAAUCCUAUCUUAUCUUAUCCUAUCCUAAUCCUAUCCUAAUUUAAUUCCAGCUGCAUGGGGGAUUUAUUUUCAGAUUAGGACACAUUAAAAUUGGUUUCUAGAAGCCCUUAUCCACUCCUACAAAGGUGCCACACCUUAUCCCUUGUUUUUUCUAGAAAUCAGCCACAAAACAACCUUUCUAGAAGGCCUUAUCCUUUGUCCUACAAAAGUGACGCCCCAAACCUUUCUAGAACUUCUAGAAACCUGAUUAUUCCUUUCUCCCUUGGUUUCUAAAAGCCUUAGCCUUUUCCUUCAAGGAUUGUGUGUUAUUAUCCUAUACAAAUUAGGCUUUUAAAUCCUUUUCCUUUGCUACAUAGGGGCUGCGAAUUUCAGCCUAUAAAUACCAUCCUUUGCUGCACCAUUUAGUCACCAUCCUCUACCAUAUUUUCACUACACCAUUCACCCAAAUAUACCUCUUGUGCCGUGAGUUUGCAAAGGAGAAGAAGGAAGAACUCUUGGAGCCGUGCAUGCCAUUCAAGGAGCUUGGAUUGUGGAGCGUUUCUAGGUGUUUUCUAUCUUUGUUUUAAUGUUUAAAUUUAUUUAUCUUUGUUUAUUUGCGAGUAUGAGGAACUAAACCCCCUUGGCUAGGGGGGAUUCGAAACCAUGUUUAUGCUUGCUAUAUGAUUUGAUUACUUCUAAUUGUGUUUCAUAAGUUGUGAGUUCAAUUUGCUUAUCUAUGUGAAUUAAAACUUAUUCUUGUAUGUUGAUUGAGGGUCGACACUUAGUUUGCAUGCAUGAAUUUGAUGCUAGGAUAUAAGGGAAUUUCACCUAAUCGUUAUGAACUUAUAUUCACAAGUAGUAAAGGUUGUUGAUCACAAUCGUGUUAAGUAAAUUCUUGGCAUAAGUUUCAUGCAAUCAUAGUAACAAGUGCUUCGUCAAUGCUUAUGGUUUUCAUAGAACUUAAUGAUUCUUGCUUGUAUCUCUAUUAUGCAAUCAUGUAGGGGACUUGUGGGGAAUGCUUUGGGUUGUCGUAUGCAAUUCAUCCAAUUCAAUAACUUAAGGAAAAUCUGAGGGUUAAUUUAAGCGGACCUAAUUAACUUGGGGCGUUGAGAAUUCAUGGUUUAUUGAAAAGCAAUUGGAAAUCGUUUUAUAUGCAAGUGUAACAUGUGUGGAGAUGAACCCCUUAGCUAGCCUUCCAUCCAUUCAAAUCAUCCAAAUUCGUUUAAAAUCUGUUUUAGUUUACAAAGUUUUGUUUUGUUUUUAAAUUCGUCCAAAAUCAAUCCCCCUUUUCUUUGUUGAGUCAUACUAGUUAGAAAUCAAUUAAGUUUGUGUUUUUAAGUGUCUUGAGUCAAGUUAUAAUCAAUUUUCGUCCAAAUUCUUCCUGAGUGUCAGAAACUGCCCAGAAAGUGUUUUAAGGCAGUUUUGAGUGUUUGUUUGCUGUUUUGAGUCUUUUUGUUUGUUUUGGUGUUUUAAAGUUUAGUUUUGCAUUCUUUGAGUCUAGUUUAGUGUUUUAAACUUGUUUUUACGUAUUUGAGUCGGUUUUCAAGUGAUUUAGCAAUCCCUCCUAAUCCCCGGCCUAGAACGAUCCCUACUUACAUACUUACUACAAUCGAUAAAAAGAGGGUUAAUUUGUGUGUCAACAUAAUUUUCACAUCACAUAUAGAUAUCCAUUGUCUAGGCCUACUAUUCAGCCAUUUAUGAAAUGACUACAGAAGAGGUAUCAUCACUGAUGACCAAGCUGAUUGGCUCUAGUGCAAGUGGGAGAUUGUUGGAAAUGUGCCCUAAAACCAAUCAUAUGAUGAUACUUUACGGACAUUUCACAUGUUAAACUAAUCUAGUUUAAUAUCAAGGGCAAAGAUUAUUGUUUGAGCGGUCUCAUAUAAAUGUUAUAUGCUUAAACUAUAAGUCCAAGGAAUAUGUGAUUGGGAGAAUGCAAUCUAAAGAAGUUAGAUUCAUGAGACCAUUCUUUCGUAGACACAUCCUAAACAUUCCUGAUCAUAGGAUUGCCAAUUGGGCAUUGACAGUCCGUUAAGAUCAGUACGUGCUGUGUCUUCUCUCAGGGAGAGUGACUAGUCUUGAGUCAUUGGUGUGUGUGACAUCAAGACAAGUACGUAGGUGCUCAAUAGAGAAUGAGUUCACUGAACACGAUCAACGAAGAGUUCUCAUAUUCAUGUCACAUGAGAACUCAUGGUUGGGAUAAUGCAAAGUAGUCAUUUGACCUGAGGCAUCAUAGUUGUCUUGUGGUUAAGUCCUUGAUCUUUGAUUAUGUCAAAGUCACUCCAUCAGGAGGGUGUCCAUGGCAUAGUUGGGGUUAAGCCACUUAGCUAUGGAGGCAAGUGAAUGCGCAACAAGGGAUCUCUAACCUUCAAACCUUUUGGGGGAGAAUACUCUAUGAUAUGAUUUAGAAUCUCUGGCCAGAGUAUGAAUGAGAUUUAGGAAGGCGUUCCAAAUCACAUUCAAGGUAAUCAUAU
rnacentral:lncRNA from 1 species